rnacentral:lncRNA from 1 species
GAUAUUUGUUACCUUUCUCCUUCUUAACAUAAUUGCUCUUAUUUUAGGGCUGCAUUUUUUUAGUUCUGUAGCAUCCUCAUUUAAUGACGGAAGGACGAUUGCAAACAAAAGAGUAGCCCAGCCAUGGAACAGUGUCAGCAGAGCCAAAACCAACUCAGCCAAAAUGGCAAAUAAGAGGGUAAUGUUCUACUUCAUGUAACAUCAUGAUUAGAAGACCAUGGGCUUCAUGACAUUGGGCCUCCUGAAUUUUCUGAGAAGAUUGUUUCAGUGGGAGAGAAAGCUUACUAUUUUGUUAUUAGUUUCUAUUACAGAGAAAAAGUGAUCAAAAAAGACAAGGGGAUCAAGGUGGAAUAUCACUUUAGACUUGUCCAUAUAAAGAAAAAGAAGAAGAAAUGGAUUGUCCAGGGAAGGGUAAAUAUACUCAUACCGUGUUCAUUUUGCUUUAAUAAAUUUUAUCAUUUUCUGACUUUGUUGUUUUAGUGACAAAUG